GAACUGAAGAGUUUGAUCAUGGCUCAGAUUGAACGCUGGCGGCAGGCCUAACACAUGCAAGUCGAGCGGUAGAGAGAAGCUUGCUUCUCUUGAGAGCGGCGGACGGGUGAGUAAUACCUAGGAAUCUGCCUGAUAGUGGGGGAUAACGUUCGGAAACGGACGCUAAUACCGCAUACGUCCUACGGGAGAAAGCAGGGGACCUUCGGGCCUUGCGCUAUCAGAUGAGCCUAGGUCGGAUUAGCUAGUUGGUGAGGUAAUGGCUCACCAAGGCUACGAUCCGUAACUGGUCUGAGAGGAUGAUCAGUCACACUGGAACUGAGACACGGUCCAGACUCCUACGGGAGGCAGCAGUGGGGAAUAUUGGACAAUGGGCGAAAGCCUGAUCCAGCCAUGCCGCGUGUGUGAAGAAGGUCUUCGGAUUGUAAAGCACUUUAAGUUGGGAGGAAGGGCAGUUACCUAAUACGUGACUGUCUUGACGUUACCGACAGAAUAAGCACCGGCUAACUCUGUGCCAGCAGCCGCGGUAAUACAGAGGGUGCAAGCGU
rnacentral:rRNA from 1 species